rnacentral:rRNA from 1 species
AGAAUCAACGCUGGCGGCGUGCCUAACACAUGCAAGUCGAUCGAGAAAGUGGAGCAAUCCAUGAGUAAAGAGGCGCACGGGUGAGUAACACGUGACUAACCUACCCUCGAGUGGGGAAAUAACCUGGGGAAACCCGGGCUAAUACCGCAUAAUACCCACGGGUCAAAGGAGCAAUUCGCUUGAGGAGGGGGUCGCGGCAGAUUAGUUAGUUGGCGGGGUAAUGGCCCACCAAGACGAUGAUCUGUA